rnacentral:rRNA from 1 species
UACGGAGGGGGUUAGCGUUGUUCGGAAUGACUGGGCGUAAAGCGCGCGUAGGCGGAUCAGGAAGUUGGGGGUGAAAUCCCGGGGCUCAACCCCGGAAUGGCCUUCAAAACUCCUGGUCUUGAGUUCGAGAGAGGUGAGUGGAAUUCCCAGUGUAGCGGUGAAAUGCGUAGAUAUUGGGAGGAACACCGGUGGCGAAGGCGGCUACCUGGACAGUGACUGACGCUGAGGCGCGAAAGCUAGGGGAGCGAACGGG